AUGGAUUCUUGGUCUUUUGGCUAAGAUCAAGUGCUAAGAUCAAGUUCUUAUCAGUUUACAUCUGAUCCACCCUCUAUCUGAGGACAAUAUAGUAAAUGGAUUUUUGGAACAGGGAGAUGGAAUAGGACCUUGCUCUGCUCACUCUCUGCAUCGACCUGGUAUUUCAGUAUCUCCAGGAACUGUGCACCCCCC